AAAAAAGUUUGAUUCUAGCUUAUUAAAUUUACUCUCUGAUAAUUGGACAUGUGAGAAUUCUCGUGAUUUUAAUUUUCUAAAUGAAAUGAAAAGAAUUAUUUGCAGUCUUAUGUAUUAAAUAUAUUAAAUUUUUUUAGAUUUAGUUAAUUGGAGGAGUUUCGACUAAAAUUGUGCCAGCAGUCGCGGUUAUACAAUUUGAAGCGGGUAAUUUUUUUUGGUACAAUUAUUUAUAUUUUAGUUUUUUAAAACUUUUAAAAUAUUUCUUUUUAAGUGAAAUUAUGAGGAAUAAAAAUUGUUUUGUUUGUGAUUAAAUAAGAAAGUUCUGUUGUGGGAAGAGGAUUAGAUACCCUUUUACUAUGAAUAAUGAAUGUUUGCCUUAGUAUUAAUAGUUAUGGUCUUUAAAUUAAAAGAAUUUGGCGGUAAUUUAGUCUUUCCAGAGGAACCUGCCCUGUAAUUGAUAAUCCACGAUGAAUUUUACUUUAUCUGGGCUUGUAUAUCUCUGUCAUUGAGUGUUUUAUAAGAAUAUUUUCUUUGAUUUUUAUGGAAAAAAUGUCAGGUCAAGGUGCAGCUAUGAUAAAGAAGAGGUGGGUUACAAUAUAAUUAUAUAUGAAUAUAAGUAUGGAAAUUUUAUUGAAAUUGGAUUUGGGAGUAAUUUUAAUUAGAACAUUAUUUUGAUAUAGCUCUAAAUUAUGCACACAUCGCCCGUCACUCUCGUUAUUAAGAUGAGAUAAGUCGUAACAAAGUAGACCUACCGGAAGGUGGGCCUGGAACUAAU
rnacentral:ncRNA from 1 species